AGUGCGGACCUUUCUUCAGCCUCUGUGCGACCGAGCCGCGCGCCAGGCUCCUGUGCGAGGAGGACGCGCUGACUCCCUCCGACCUGGGCUCCGAUGGAGCAGAAAUAGCGGGACCUGGACUUGUGGCGCGCCUGGUGCCACAUCUCGGGCUCUGCGAGCGUCCUGGCGCGGGAUCCUGCCUGUUCCCUUCUUUUCGCCAGGUUUGCAUCCAAGAGAGGGGAGGACAGGGGCAAAAGGAUGCAGGGAGGCUGCUGAUUUCCACUGAAGAGCUAAUUUCCUGUGAGACAUUAACAGUGAUUUAAGAAAAAGAUUCCUGUAACUGUAAUGUCUUACAAUAACAGAAUGCAGGAGAGCACAUAUCAAUGAAGAAAAGACAAAAUGUACUUAUCCAUGAAGCUGAGGUUAAGAAACCAGUGUCUUCAAGAGCCAGGGACAGCACUGGGUCUGUGCAGAGUUGAGAGAUGGUGAUGACAUGUGGUUUCCAGCAUUCCUCACCCAGUCCAGGGACACUGUGGGUGUGCCCAGCUUAAGUCCAGUAACUGGAAAUACAAGCCCAAGUUCUGGAGAGUUUGAGCUGCAGAGAUAUAUAUGGGAACACUUUGAAUCUUGACUCAUUGGCCAUAACCAGCAGAGUGGAAAAUACAAGAAGAGA
rnacentral:lncRNA from 1 species